AACGAACGCUGGCGGCGCGCCUAAUACAUGCAAGUCGAGCGAGAAGACGUAGCAAUACGUUUGUAAAGCGGCGAACGGGUGAGGAAUACAUGGGUAACCUACCCUCGAGUGGGGAAUAACUAGCCGAAAGGUUAGCUAAUACCGCGUACGCUCCUUGGACUUCGGUUCAGGGAGGAAAGCGAUACCGUGGGUAUCGCGCUCUUGGAUGGGCUCAUGUCCUAUCAGCUUGUUGGUGAGGAACGGCUCACCAAGGCUUCGACGGGUAGCUGGUCUGAGAGGACGAUCAGCCACACUGGCACUGCGACACGGGCCAGACUCCGUACGGGAGGCAGCAGUAAGGAAUAUUGCGCAAUGGGCGAAAGCCUGACGCAGCGACGCCGCGGUGGGGGA
rnacentral:rRNA from 1 species